UCGAGAAUCUUCGGCAAUGAGCGCAAGCUUGACCGAGCGACGCCGCGUGCGGGAUGAAGGCCUUCGGGUUGUAAACCGCUUUGGUCCGAAAGAAAGGGCAACUUGAUCGAUCGGAGAAACAAGGACGGGCUAAGUUCGUGCCAGCAGCCGCGGUAAGACGAACCGUCCAAACGUUAUUCGGAAUUACUGGGCUUAAAGGGCGCGUAGGCGGCCGAGCGGGUCACGGGUGAAAUCCUUCAGCUUAACUGGAGAACUGCCCUUGAUACCACUGCGGCUCGAGGAAGGAAGGGGCAAUCGGAACUGUCGGUGGAGCGGUGAAAUGCGUUGAUAUCGACAGGAACGCCGGUGGCGAAAGCGGAUUGCUGGUCCUUUUCUGACGCUGAGGCGCGAAAGCCAGGGGAGCAAACG
rnacentral:rRNA from 1 species